GGUGGAGCAUUUAGGAGCACUUAGAGCACUGGCCACCUAACCCUGAGACCCCCUUGUUAGGAGAAGUGGGCCACAGAAUGGGUUAGGGGGACACUAGGUCACCUGACAACCUCAAGGACACUUCUGUAGGACCAGGAGCUCUGUAAGACAACACACAGUCCCCCACCCCACAGCUCAUGCUCUGAGGGACCCAAGACUCAGCUAAAGCUGUCCAUGUGCAUAUAAAAAUUACUGGGGCAAGUGGAACAUAACAAUCUGGACAGAAAAAGGACUUUAGGAAACAUCUGUCAAGCAAUCAGACUUAAAUGUCCAGAAGCAUUGUCCUUGGCUCUUAUAAAGAUCCAGAAUAUUCCAAAUAGGGGACAUGGAAGUAGCAUGUAACCUUAAAAUGAGGAUUUCCAGGGCCAAUUCCCAGGCCCUGGAAGUGGUCAGCAUCACGAAGUAGACAGCUUUUCCCAAGAUCAUGGAGUAGGCAACUUUCCUUUCACCUGUCUCUCCUUAAAACAAAUGAGCAAGUGAACAAACAGAAACACCCUACCUUCACGCUACAACCCAGCAACAACGACAAAAUCAAACACUCCUUUUCUUAUUAAGACUUGUCCAUAUUAAUGAAUCACAAAGUUGGCUGGAGACCACGGGU